GCAUAGAAUCGUGUUAAAGAAGUUCAAAAGAACACGAAGGAAUGGUCUGUGAAAAUGAGGAGUGCUAUUCCCGAGGUUUCCUGCGUUCUUUCCAAUGAAGAAAUCGACAGGAUUGUAGAAGAUAGCCAUGAAGAUUAAGAUAGCCAUUUAUUUCUUAAUCUUCAUGGCUAUCUAAAUGAAUAAUAAAUGAAUCCACAAUGAGCGACUUUAUACGGCGACACUUACAAAACCAAACCCACGAUUAGUCAGGGCGAUCGUCUUUCUAAUACUGGUGCAAGGUUGUCAGGCAUAUCGCGUCCGAAAACAUCUUUUGGAGCUAGCAGCAGAAAAUCAAGUCAAUAUGGACGUGAAUCGUACAUGCAGAUAAAAGACUCCAGACCGCUUAGUGAUAAAUCUUAUCAGCAUCAAGAAAUACAAGACAUAUUGCAGUUUCUUUCGGUCAACGAUUACCAGCAUCCAAUCUCCAUGAAGAAAAUGACGAUUCCAACGAGCAAAGAGUUCCUGAAAGUAUUUUCCCCAUAUCAGUCCAACGGACACAUAAAACUAAAAGAAAA